UGGCGGACGAGUGAGUAACGCGUGGGUAACCUGCCUUACACAGGGGGAUAACACCUGGAAACAGGUGCUAAUACCGCAUAAGCGCACAGGGCCGCAUGGCCCGGUGUGAAAAACUCCGGUGGUGUAAGAUGGACCCGCGUCUGAUUAGCUUGUUGGCGGGGUAGAGGCCCACCAAGGCGACGAUCAGUAGCCGGCCUGAGAGGGUGGACGGCCACAUUGGGACUGAGACACGGCCCAAACUCCUACGGGAGGCAGCAG
rnacentral:rRNA from 1 species